rnacentral:rRNA from 1 species
UAGGGAAUAUUGGGCAAUGGAUGCAAGUCUGACCCAGCCAUGCCGCGUGCCGGAAGAAGGUCCUCAGGAUUGUAAACGGCUUUUAUUCGGGAAGAAGAGCAGGGAUGCGUCCUUGUGUGACGGUACCGAAUGAAUAAGCACCGGCUAACUCCGUGCCAGCAGCCGCGGUAAUACGGAGGGUGCGAGCGUUGUCCGGAUUUAUUGGGUUUAAAGGGUGCGUAGGUGGCUUGAUAAGUCAGUGGUGAAAUACAGCCGCUCAACGGUUGAGGUGCCAUUGAUACUGUCAAGCUUGAAAGAAUUGGAGGCUGCCGGAAUGGAUGGUGUAGCGGUGAAAUGCAUAGAUAUCAUCCAGAACACCGAUUGCGAAGGCAGGUGGCUACGAUUUAUUUGACACUGAGGCACGAAAGCAUGGGGAGCAAACA